rnacentral:rRNA from 1 species
GACGGAGGGUGCAAGCGUUGUUCGGAUUGACUGGGCGUAAAGGGCGUGUAGGCGGUUGGUCAAGUCUGAUGUGAAAGCCCGGAGCUCAGCCCCGGAAGGGCAUCGGAAACUAACCAGCUGGAGCGCGAUAGAGGAGGGCGGAAUUCCUGGUGUAGCGGUGAAAUGCAUAGAUAUGUCACAGAACACCAAUUGCGAAGGCAGCUUACUAAAGUAUGAUUGACGCUGAGGCACGAAAGCGUGGGGAUCAAACAGG